ACCCCGACUCUGGGGCUAUUCAGAGUCGAGGAAUCGACUCUUUUGGAGUCGACUCCCCAUCACUAAUUCACAGUGUCUAGUAUGUGCAACAGCAAAAAGCUUGUUUACAUUUUAGACAAGUCAAGUUGCGUUACUGAAUAGAACCUAAAAACCUAAACCAACUGCCUUGACCUGCAUAUAUACAAAGUGCACAGCAACAUACACGGGACAAAUCCACACAUUAUACAAUGAAUGUGGGAUCAGUGCGUCGAGAGCGCUCAUCAUACAUGAUUUGUUUGCAAGGUAGCCUAAUGUACGACUCCUGUACGUCACUGCACUCGUCUUUACCUUGAGUGAAAUCCUCAUCCAUCAAAACUUUCAUAGCAAGAAGCUGGUUUGCUUUAUCCAGCCGAGAAACAUAGUUUUCAUAUCAUCUGACCAUACAGCAGUGGGAUGUUUCGACGUUCCGUUCAGACAGGAACAGCGCGAUGCGGGAGGGCUCGCGCUCUUCAGAUACAAUGACGGAAUAUGACAGAGAGUUCGUGUUUUAAAGCGAAACAGACACUGGAAUUAAUAAUUCUCUCUGCCAUCGCUGAUAUAAUCAGCAUAGACUUGAAGAUCAUCUAUCUGUGGGACAAGAAAGAAAGUCAUCCUGGCUUUGCACAACACAAGGAGGCAGAUGUUUUAAGAUGUCUGUGACAAAGGCAGUUACAUUUGAACUUCAAACACUGGAUUGAGCCACAGUGCAUGAGCACAAUUGGAUACAGAAGUGUCACCUGAUAAACUGCAUCCACCGGGGGACAGAAUUAGAAGUCAGGGAUCGACUUUCAUGAAAUGCGCCUGGCCGACCAUAAUUCCCCCAAAAGCGGGAACGGUGCUUUGCCGUGAUGUGAGAAGGUUAACGUUAAACAAUAAAAGGGGCCGAGGAGAAUGGGAAUGAAGCUAAUGAGAGGUGAUAAGAUUCAUUCCAGACCUCAAUUUCAAGGAUGGAGGAGCAAGUGGUCUGGGAGAGUACUGUGAGACUCCCGCGAGGACUUGAGGCCCUAAUGAAAGAUAUUAGCCUUUGAGGAAAAGAGUGAUAUCCCUGGAUCUCACAAAGGUGAGAAGCAAUCUUCAAAUUUUCUGACAAUGAAAGGAGUAGUUUACCCCAUCUCCCCCCCCCAUACUGUAUUCAAAUAACCUACUCAAAGAGUAUGUGAUUUCAGACGCAGCCCAUGUCUAUCCAGCUCCAAAAAGGACAAAAAUAAAGGUCUAUGACUCUUCAACUUGUCUGACACAUUGCUUUCAAAUAAAAUAUGGUGCAGUUGGAUGUCAGUGACACUGAAUGUCAUUUGUUCUUGUGUGUCCUGUAAAAAAAUAUUGUAAUUUUAACAGUAAAAAACUGUAUAAAUUGUUAGUCAGUUAAUGAUAAGCUCAUAUAUACGAUAUCAUGUAAUUUUAAAGUAAACACUGUUUCAUUUACAGCUGUUGAAAGUGAAAAAGAACAAGUCAUGAUUUACAGUGAUAACACUGAGAAUAAAACUAA